ACCCCCGCGGCCCCAAAACUUCGGGGGAAGGGUUGCAUCGCGGGACCCCCCACCCCAGAUCCGGGCCCCUGGCGAGCGGCGCAUCCCCCCGCCAUCCGAGCGUCCCCCGGCCCGGCGGCCCCGCCGCUCCCCGCUGCCGCCUUCCGCACCCCUCCUCGGGCACUCGCGGUGGCACCGAGGUGGAACCUCACGGGGGCUGCUCCACGCGGGGCGUGGGGGCCGGGGGAGCGGGUCUGCGGGGUCCCCCCGUGCUGGGGACCAGCGCUGGCGGCGGCAGACGCGCUGUGUCCUCCCGGGGAGCUCCGGGCUGAGGGGCCACAGGUCCCUCUCCUGAUCAGGAACGUGUGAGUGAGAGGCCCGCGGCUGCUGCCCCUCUCCAAGGCUCCGGCGGCACCGCGUCCCUGUCACCAGGGGGAAACCCACCGCACCCGGCGUUUUCAUCACCGAGCCCCAGCACCAGCGCCAGCCCUUUCCCUCUGAGCAGCACAGCGGGGCAAGGUGGGCUGCUGCUGCCCCACCGCAGCUCGUCCCUCCGUCCCCACGGCUGGGCGGUCCCACAGCGGGGCUGCCCCACCACGGCUGCCCCACGGCCGACCUCUUGCCUGCCCGGCCUCGCCACUUCGCCCCAUUGCUUCCCUCCCGCAGCAGUGCCUGUCUGGCGAGGCCCCAGCAGCUGCCGCCCUCCUGCAGCACAGGCCACAAUUUGGGGCAGUUUUGCCCCAGAGCUGCUGGGUGAGGUGUCUCUGAGCACCCACAGGCUGUGGUUAAAGAUGAGCUUUAACAGAGCCAGGUGCUGGUACCUGUGCAGCAAAAAAUGGCCGAUGGCAUCACCCUGGGCCCUAACUUUUACAAUUAGUGGCAGCAGUGGGUGUCCUGUGUGCUCAGGUGAACCUGCCCCACUGUCCUGUGGGGCCCUGGGGGUGUCUGACUGCCCCAGUCCAGGAGCGACCCCUCCAAUGGUGGGGGCAGGCGAGCCACGGUGCUGAGCUGCUCCUCCACGUUGGAAAGUUCUCGCCAAUGUUUUAUGUUUCCCUCACUGUGAUCGAUCACUGCUUUGGAAGGAGCCAGAGAGGCCCCACUGCCCUGGGCACAGCUCCCUCGGGAAAGGGCUUGGCAGUGCCAUGGCAGAGCUCAGAGCUGGAUCACAGCCCACCACCCUGAGCCUGGGCACGGGGCUAGAAGCAGCAGGGCAUGGGCUCACCGUGGGCUCAGCACUGCCUGUUCCACAUCCCACCCCGAGCUGGUGCUCUGAGUGCUGCUGGAGUGGGAGUGGGAGUGGGAGCCGUGCGGGGCUGCGCGGCCGUACCUGCAGCACCACCGAGGCCUCAUGCGGGGCACGGCCUCCGCCAUCCCCUGCGUGUGGGUGCGGGUGGCAGUGGGGCUGCGGGGGCUGCAGCACCCCGUCAGGGAUAGGGAGGGUCCCAGCCUGUGCUCGGGGGAAGCAUAUGGGGCUGCGAUGGUGCUGGGGGGACGUGCUGGGGCUGCUUACCACCCUCCUGGAUUCUGCAGGAGAAAGGCGCCUCGCAGGCUGUUAACCCGUGCGAUGCUGGGAAGGGAAAACUUCCCCCAGCGGAGCUGCGCAGGGCUCACGCGUCGGUGCGGGGGAAGGACAGUGCUGGGGCGGGGGCUGGGGACCCCCCCGGCCGGGGGAGCGCUGGGGGCCGAACCCUGUACCUGUUACAGGCAGCAGGUCCUGGGUGAUUCCUGCUGCAGGGCCUUGCUGCCUCCUGAUUUCUGUGCGCUCACUGUAUCGGGCUUGAAACAGGGACAGAGGCUUCAUCCCCGGUGCCGGGACCGAGCACGGUGUGCCGCAGGGGCCGGUUCUCCUGCGGUGCACAAGACGCUUUUAGCACCGAGCAGAGCUCCCUGCCCGCUGGGAACCGCCUCAGCCCUGAACUUCCCGCCGCCAGCGGGGGCUGAACGCGGGUAUCGAGGGAGGAAUUGCGCGUGGAGCCCCCGUGGCUCCGGCGGCCGGGCGCGCGUGGCUCAGCACGAAGCUGCCCGACGUGAGCGCCGGCUCCGAGCAUCCCUGGCGGUCCCGGCGCAGCGCCUGCGUGGGAGCCACGCACCACGUGAGCGUCACAAGCCCAUCGGCGAGAGCGGAUAAAUCCUGAAUGGAGCCGCCGCAGACCCAUGGAGAGACGCCCACACUGGGAAACACAAAUUAGCAGUUGACUCAAUAUCUGGAGCCCAGGCAGGUGUUUCCAGACUGAGGGAUAGUCUGCUUGGAAUCGCAGCGUUUGGAUCCUGAUUAUUGCUUUUACAGUAUGUGAACGCUUGGCAGGUGUCCCCUCGUGUGUCCAGCUGAGGUGUGAGCUGCACUGGUCAGUGCAUGUCCCCCGUGGCUGUUUCAGUGUCACUUGCUUUCCUCCAUGCCUGCUGUGUUGGUACAGAAGGGAGGGAAGCACACGGCACUUUGGGGAGAGAGCUGAAGUUGAGAAAUAGCUGCUUAGGCUGGUGGUGUUUUUCAGAAACUAACAGAACUUUGGUUUUCAUCAAACUUAAUUAAAUUCAGCAUCAUUAAAUGCAGCAUCAUUAAAUGCAGGGAGGCUCUGUGUCCUCCCUGCUGCGUGGUGUAGAUUGGGACUAGCUCCAUGGCAUCAUGCGGAUCUGAAACAGGCAGAAGGAGCAGGAGGAUUUGGCCAAGGCUGCUCAAAAUACCAUAUUUUAAGGCGAUGUAGUACUUUUCCUUUCCUCCUUCAUUCCUCUCAUCAGAAUAAAGUGCUCUGUCAUUUCUGGAGGAGGCCAAGCAUUGCUCUGCCUGCCUCCCUCACAGAGGAUGUUCGGCAUCCUGCAUUCCUCUGGGGUGGGACGUGGGGUGUUUUGCAGGGGACACAGAUAUCUUCUGUCCCAGAGCUUUCCUUUGGCUGAGCUGUCCCCCUUGGGCCCGUUCUGGCCCCUCCAGUGUCCCCCACAGCAGCUCCAGCACAGCCUUUUCCAGCCAGCAGUUCCUCCCUGCUGAACCUGGAGACCUCUCAGGGCUGGUCUUUUGGGAUGAUCCUGUCUGGAUUUAAACAUAAUAUUGCAGGUACCAUCAGCUGACCCCAUAGCCCCCAGGACGCUGCCCAGUACUUUCUACACCUGACCUGCAGCUCCUGCAUGGCUCAGUGGUGGAUGGAUGGUCACUCCUGGAGGCUGCACUUGAGGGUGAUCAGCCGUGUCCCUGGGCUGGUGGUUCCAUUGGAGAGCUCAUGAGCUCCUCAAACUCCCCUUGAACAUAAUCAAUAAUCUUUGGUACCUGGGUCUCCCGUAGCCACGCGGGCUCUUUGUUCUGCCUGCUGUGAGUCUGGUUGUACACUGAGGUCACUGAGCCCCUCACAGGGAAGCCCCAGGGUGGCAGGGCCCCCAGCCCAUCUGGUGGGACUGAGCAGCAUCUCCUGCCCCCAAACUGGAACUUGCUCUCCUGGUUCCUCGCUCUUAAUCCUUGGAGCUGGCUGUACAGAGAUGGCCAUCACUGAAUGAGCCCAAGGUACCGAGCUGCCCAAAUUUGCCUGACCCACCUUCCUCAUUCAUCAAUACUCCCAUCAGUCUUUUCUCUGCCAUUGCCCUGUUUUACUCCCAAUUAUUUCAUGUUUUAUUCAAUACUCUCAAAUAAAGAUGUUGUCAUAGCUCAGCACUGUCCUAGUAACAGCAGAUCCUGUGCAGGAACAUCCCUUGGAUGACAGGGACUGUCUCUGUGAGCUCCCAGUCCCCUUAAUAAAGCGCUGUUGAUUCUGCAUAAUACAGGUCUUUAACUUUUUCAGGAGAGCUAAAUCAAAUACCCUGUGGAACUCUUAAAUGUAUUAUGUUAGUGACUUCCUUUAUCAACUGAAUUUGUAACUAUAUCAAGAAAAAAUUAUGAAUUUUGGUAAAUCUAUGUUCCACGAGGCUGUUUGACAUUUGCCUCCUCCCCCGUUCCCACCUCUGCUAACCCACAGGCGGUGCUGGGGACACAGCUCCUGCCAUUGCCCAUCACAUCACUCCUGGCAUUAAACCAGCUUCUUCUGUCUUCUAGAAAUUCAACAGAAUGCCAAGGUUUAUUAAAAUCCAUUUUAGAUCUUCAGAAGCCUUCUCAGCUUAUUCUCUGAAUGCUCCUGGGAGGAAGUUCUCUAGUCCUCCUGAUUCCAUGUUUACACUUUGCAGUUGCUGUAUAGCAUCCCCCCAGCUCCUGCCAGAAUACAGGAACCUAUUUGUCUCCAAGUACAGAACAGAAGUAUCUGAUGAAUAAAUAAGCAUGUGUCACUUCU